rnacentral:lncRNA from 1 species
CUCUAGUUGAACAAACACCCCGUGUCAUAGUAUACCUUAAAACGCAUUCAAGAAAAAUCAGUAAAAUAAAGUUACUGUGAGAACUUACGUAAGUUCUUGCAAGCCCAUUGGUUUUUGUCCAAUGGUAGGCAUCUUCAAAAGAGGAUUUCGUGAGGACAGUAAUGAGGCCUGGUUUUCUAAGGCUGCCUUCAUUCUUACUUUCCUGUUGACUGUUUUCGGCUACCGGGUAUUUCCUGCUUCUCCCCAAAAGUUAAUUUCCUGUUUCUUUGUACCUAUUAAUCUGAAGCAGAAUUUCUCCUGUUCAAACUUGGCCAUCAUCGCAACUGUCUGCAUCCUCUCCGCCCCCCACCCCGGCUGUGGAUGAAUUUUCUAGCUAAAAAUAUGUGGGGAAAAUAAAAGGGCGAUGAGAUGGCCCAGCAGAGAAGGACCCUUGCUGUUACCAUUAAGGACCUGAGUUUGAUCUCUGGGACUCCCAUAGCGGGAGAAAAGGACUAACUUCUGAAAGCUGUCUUCUGACCUCCUUCCAUACAUGUACUGUGGCACAUGCACACACACACACACACACACACACACACACACACACACACACACACAAAUAAAUAAAUAAGUGUAAUUAGAAUUUAAAAGCAAAAUGAAGAAAAGUAUGCUUGCAGGCUUCAGCACUUUCCUCCAGCUGGCCAUCUUAAUGGUUUCCACUAGCCAUCAUUUAUUUGUUGACCCACAAUCUAUAAUUCCAGUGGGUGUUUUUGUUUCCUUUGGGGAAAGGAGUGAUAAAAGUUGAACCCAUGGCCUUGCACAUACUACAUAGAUGAUCUACCGUAUAUGUUACAAUUCCAGCCCACUUCCUUAGUUUUUCUUUUGUUGAAACAGAGUUUCAUGUAGCCAAGGCUAGCCUUUAACUUGCUGUGCAGCUGAUGAUAGCCUUGAAUACCUGAUCCUGCCUUCACUUCCCAAGUGCUGUUUUUGCAGACAUGCAUAGCCAUCAGGGGUUAGCUUUAAUUUUUUUUCCACAGUCACCACUCCCGCCCAUAGUCUGCCUCAAUUCCCCUCUCCUUUUUAUCCUCUUGGCUUUUUUCAGAGGAUAUUCUGAAUAUUUGAAAAUAAAUUACUCCUCCUACUAUAAUCUAUUUCUGUUUUUUCAUUAUUAUCCCCAAAUAAAUAAAAUAAACUUGCAUCAUAUAAUUAUCAUAUAUUGCAUUAUGUAUUUAUUGAGUUUUUUGGGUGAGGGGGUUCGAGACAGGGUUUCUCUGUGGCUUUGGAGUGGGUCCUGGAACUAGCUCUUGUAGACCAGGCUGGUCUCGAACUCACAGAGAUCUGCCUGCCUCUGCCUCCCGAGUGCUGGGAUUAAAGGCCUGUAUUUAUGGAAUUUGUAAAGCAUUUAUUUGUUAGGUAUGUAUGUGUGUCUAUGUGUGCCAAAGUGUAUGUGUGCAAUAAGUGUAGCGGUCAGAAGGGCAACAUAUUUGGAUAUGUAUUUUCUCUCUCUUUUUUUCCCUUUCUCUUCCCAAGGUCUCACUAUGUAGCCUUGGCUGCCUGGAAUUUGCUAUGUGGAUCAGGCUGGCCUUGAACUCAAAGAGCUCAUCCUGCCUCUGCCUCCUGCGUGCUGGGAUUAAAGACCUGCCAGGAGAGCUCUCUAAAUUUGAGGCCAUCCUGGUAUACAAUCCAGGACUGCACUCUCCACAUCCACGAAAGAUUAAGGCAGUAAGGCCUGCCUCCAGUCAGCAUGGAUAUUUGGAAGCAGAAUGUGGCAGCUAAAGUAGACUCCACAGUCAGAUCACAGAAGAACAUAGUAACUGGGCCUGGUAUUACAGGCUUGCCAACCCAGUUACCCAGGAAGCUGAGGCAAAAGGAUUCUAAGUUCAAGGCCAGCCUGAACAAUUUAGUAAGACCCUGACCCAGACUAAAAAGCAAAUGCCGGGGCUCUGAUUCAGUAGUAGGGUACUUUCCCAGCAAGCAAAGCAUGAGGUUCUGAGUUCAACCAUGCCCUUCUUUCUUCAAAAAAAAAAAAAAAAAAAAAAAAAAAAAAAAAAAAAAAAAAAAAAAAAAACUAAAGAAAACAAAAACCACAGGAAGCCAUCAGCUUUCCCUCUCAUUGGUCUCCUGGAUACAGGAGGUCAGAGGAAGCCCUGUUGUUCUCCCAUAUACAAAUAAUAAAUAGUUCUGCAAGGUGUCCAGACAUGAUGUAUGGAUAGUUGAAUCGUAACUAUUUCCUUUCACUUCGUUUGGCUUUUUAAGAAUCAGAUAUUACUUGAUUCUAUUCCCCCUCUGGCCAAUUCUAAUUAACUUUAAAAAAUUCCAUUCCUUUGAAUGGUUUGAACAUAUUCUCUUUUAUUCCAGGGAUUUCCUUGAAGUAAUUUCCGGUUUAAUCAUCAGGAAUGUAAAAUAUAGGCUAGGGAAUAAAGUAAGAUCUGGAUUUUGGACAAGUAAUACUCUUGUCUUGUUUUCUGUUGUUGUGAUAAAAUAUUCUGGCUAGGGGACUAGAAAGAUGUCUCAGAGGUUAAGAGCACUGACUGCUCUUCCAGAAGUCCUGAGUUCAAUAGAACUCACAACCAUCUGUAAUGAGAUCUGGCGCCCUCUUCUGGCCUGCGGGCAUACAUGGAGACAGAGCACUGUAUACGUAAUAAAUAAAUAAAUCAUUAAAAAAUAUUCUGACUAAAGCAAUGUAAAUGAGAAAGAAUUUAUUUUGGCUUACAGUUCCAUAGAGAUACAGUCUAUCACACCAGGCCAGCUUGUCACGUUGUAUCAGCAGUCAGUGUUCAGAACAAGG